GUCAUUUAUUAUCAAGUGUUAUGUACUAUACAUAACUGGAUGUGCUAUACUUUUAUUAUACAACUGGCAGCGCAAUUUGUUUACACCAGCAUAACCACAUACAUGUAAGUCAUGCCUUGCACUAUGAUGUUACCAUUGCUGCACUAUCACUAGGUAAUAGGAAUUUUUCAGCUCCGUUAGAAUCCGAUGGGACCACCGUUGUCUCUGUGGUCUGUCAUUGACUGAAACAUCAUUAUUUGGUGCAUGACUGUAGAACUUUAAGCAAUGAUGAAAAUGCUCUAUAUCUACACUGUCCUAUACAGUAACCACUAGCCACUUGUGACUACUGAGUAUCUGAAAGGUUCUGCUUGAAUUCUUCCCCUGGCUCUUGGCGAAGGGUCGGCCUGCCUGGAUCUGAGUCAUCCACCUAUAAGAGGGACACCACCACACAUUGGUCACUGCUCUCAAGCCCCUGGAAUACCACCCCACUUGGCUUCUCCUAAGAUGGGCUCUCACUAUAGCCCUGGUCUGGAACUCCUGGGCUCAAGCCAUCCUCCCACUUUGGCCUCCCAAAAUGCUGGGAUUACAGGCGUGAACCACCACAUCUAGCCUAAAAUUAUAUUGUCAAAAGACUUUGUUUCUCAGUUUGGGAUAACCAGAACUCAUAGUUCUGAUCUCAACUACCAGUUUUAAUGAGGUGCUUCUUUCUAACUCCAUCAGCUGUUUCGCUAUUUGCAGAUACCACCCACAUAAACAAAAACUUUCUGGGAGUCCUCCAGAAUUUUUAAGAGUUAUCUAAACUAUUGCCUUUAACAACUGGGAACUCCGAUUUGAGAAGUGUUACCCUACGUUAAGCCAACAGCAGCCUGGCUCCUUCGUGCUGUGCAGUGUGGGACAGAGCUGGGUCCUUGUUGUCAUCAGCCAGACAAACACAUAUUAAAGCCCACCUUAGCCAUUGGCGUUAGAACUUUAAAAUCAGCUCCAUCCUACCAUGCUGUCAGUCAAUCAGGUGAUCUUAAUGACCAGAUCUACAUAUCCUCCCUCCAUGCCCCCACCCCCACCACCCACCAAC